UUAAAUUCUAAACCUAAUCAUUUAUAAUAUGUAACCCUUUUCUGGAAAUGAAAGGAAAUAAAAUUCUAAGUUGGGUAAUCCAAAAUGAAGAUUUGAUAUUUUGGAUUAGCUUUUCCAAAAAGGUAGAGUGAUAUUAGGAUAGAGUGCCCAUUUUGUCAAAGUUUAUAAACUUUCAGGCUCUGCACUCCAUCAAUUGGUGUAGUAUGUUCCCGAAAACAAGAUCUAGAAAUUCACAUACUUAAUGGGGUGCGAGAAGAAAUUUAUGGAGUGUAGAAAGAAACAGCCCAACGUGUAACUAAGCUUAUAUCGAGGGCCCAAAUAAAUUCGAAUGUGAAAGGGUUGAAUGUACCUUGCAUUUUAGGAAGGAAAGUGGUACGAGUGGAAGGCGAGGACGGCGUCUGCAUCAAUAUUCAGUAUUUAGCUGUUCAAAAGAUGAGAUUGAAGAGGUUAAAGUAACUACAAACAAGUGAGCACAAAACUUGACACCAGUUGAGACAUUGGAGUGGAAGCCACAAAGGUUGGUCCCUGGUGCGAACAAAACAGGUGGAGAAGUCGAGAAGAUGCAUCCAUCCUAACUACAAUUCUCCUUGUAUAUGAGGAAACAGAACCUAAACAGGCCCCUAAAAAUUGGGUUAGAUUGCUAUUGAUUAACAAAAAAGUUGGAAAGCAAAAUUCUUUCGGAGUACGAUUUGAGAAUGACUAGUCAGAAAAAUUCCUGUCCAUUUUAAGCUUGCUCUUCACUUCUUGUAUCUCCUUCAUUUGUCGCUGCAAGGCAAAGAAAAUAUGUGAAAGCAGCCACAGGAAUAGGCGUAUAAGAUAGUAUGCGAUGCAUUGGCGAUACGCAGGAAAUAAUUCUUCACAAUGCUGCACCUGAUAUAGUGCAUUCCAACAUGCAUUAAACUUAGCAUAAUGCAGUAACCAUUCAAUAGACAUCGGGUACUCUAUUGUAUUGGGCUGAGAGCAAUGAGAUGUUGAUACUGCAUUUCUCUGUAAAGGCAGGAAACACGCAAUUUAAAACUUCUUUUCUUGUAUAGGUAAAUGAAUGAAUUAUGUGAGUAA